rnacentral:rRNA from 1 species
GACGAACGCUGGCGGCAUGCCUAACACAUGCAAGUCGAACGAGAAAGUUCCUUCGGGAGCGAUUAAAGUGGCGCACGGGUGAGUAACGCGUAGACAAUCUGCCCUUCAGUCUGGGACAACUUUUCGAAAGGAGAGCUAAUACCGGAUAACAAUGUUUAACAUAAGUUAAGUAUUUGAAAGCUUUAUGUGCUGAAGGAGGGGUCUGCGUCCCAUUAGCUAGUUGGUAAGGUAAAGGCUUACCAAGGCAACGAUGGGUAGCGGGUUUGAGAGGACGAUCCGCCACACUGGAACUGAGACACGGUCCAGACUCCUACGGGAGGCAGCAGUGGGGAAUAUUGCACAAUGGAGGAAACUCUGAUGCAGCAAUGUCGCGUGAGUGAAGAAGGCCCUUGGGUCGUAAAGCUCUUUUAUGGGGGAAGAUGAUGACGGUACCCCAAGAAUAAGCACCGGCUAACUAUGUGCCAGCAGCCGCGGUAAUACAUAGGGUGCGAGCGUUGUUCGGAAUUACUGGGCGUAAAGGGCGCGCAGGCGGAAUAGUAAGUCGGAGGUGAAAGCCCGGGGCUCAACCCCGGAGGGUCUUUCGAAACUGCUAAUCUAGAGAGGGUCAGGGGCCGGCAGAAUUCCUGGUGUAGAGGUGAAAUUCGUAGAUAUCAGGAGGAAUACCGGUGGCGAAGGCGGCCGGCUGGGGCCACUCUGACGCUGAGGCGCGAAAGCGUGGGGAGCAAACAGGAUUAGAUACCCUGGUAGUCCACGCCGUAAACGAUGAGCACUGGACGUCCGGAGGGUUCGACCCUUCUGGGUGUCUCAGCUAACGCAUUAAGUGCUCCGCCUGGGGAGUACGGUCGCAAGACUAAAACUCAAAGGAAUUGACGGGGGCCCGCACAAGCGGUGGAACAUGUGGUUUAAUUCGAUGCAACGCGAAGAACCUUACCUGGUCUUGACAUCCUCGGACCGCUUCAGAGAUGAAGUUUCCUCUUCGGAGGCCGAGUGACAGGUGCUGCGUGGCUGUCGUCAGCUCGUGUCGUGAGAUGUUGGGUUAAGUCCCGCAACGAGCGCAACCCCUACCCUUAAUUGCCAUCGGGUUAUGCCGGGCACUUUAGGGGGACUGCCGGUGACAAGCCGGAGGAGGGUAGGGAUGACGUCAAGUCCUCAUGGCCUUUAUGACCAGGGCUACACACGUGUUACAAUGGGAGUUACAGAGGGAAGCUAAGCCGCGAGGCCAUGCUAAUCCCAGAAAAACUUUCUCAGUUCGGAUCGCAGUCUGCAACUCGACUGCGUGAAGCUGGAAUCGCUAGUAAUCGCGGAUCAGCACGCCGCGGUGAAUACGUUCCCGGGCCUUGUACACACCGCCCGUCACACCAUGGGAGCCGACAAGGGCAGAAGUCGCCGAGCUAACCUUCGGGAAGCAGGCGCCCAAGCUGUUGUUGACGACUGGGGUGAAGUCGUAACAAGGUAGCCGUAGGAGAACCUGC